ACCUCCCUGGUCUUUACGUCAAAAACUCAUCUAAAUUAAUAUACACGUCUUAAAAAAAGAUAUGGACAAACCUUUAUUGAAUUCAAUUAUUACAUACAUUAUAUUUUAGAUGUAAGACGAUGGAGACAGUAAACUAUACUACACCAAAAACUAAUUUUACUGACAAAAACUCUCUAUAAUGAGUUGUUUAUACAGCCAAUAUAUUUUUCAGAACUUUGUCGGAAAGACCGGAGAAGAUGCGGUUGUCCCCGACUAUUGUUUAUGUAAACUGUCGUAGCAUGGAUUUUAUUUUAUUUAUAUUGCUUCCUGGCCCUGUGAUUAAUAUGUAUUAUUCAUCAUACCCGUGCUCAUAUACAUGUCCCUAUGUUUCGUCAUAAUCCAUUGUUGUAAACAUAUUCUUAUACAUCGUAUACAUGUGCUGGUAUUCCCAAUCAAAUUGGAUGAUUUUAUUUUUAAGUUAAUAAAUUUACAUGGUUUAUAC
rnacentral:misc_RNA from 1 species